UACGGGGGGGGCAAGCGUUGUUCGGAAUUACUGGGCGUAAAGGGCGCGUAGGCGGUUUGUUAAGUUGGAUGUGAAAACUGUGGGCUCAACCUGCAGCCUGCAUCCAAUACUGACAGGCUAGAGUUCUGGAGGGGAUAGCGGAAUUCCUGGUGUAGCGGUGAAAUGCGUAGAUAUCAGGAGGAACACCAAUGGCGAAGGCAGCUCGCUGGAACGGUACUGACGCUGAGGCGCGAAAGCGUGGGGAGCGAACAGG
rnacentral:rRNA from 1 species